AUGGAGGGCUUUUCAAUCAAGUCGAAUACGUCUUACAGGUCGGCCUACACAGGCGUGCUGGAAAAACAGCAAUUCUGCUGUAACAAGUUCCGCAAACCAGUAGAGAGGGUUGGGAUCCCGGAUGUUGCCUCGUCAAGCAAAAACACUACACGCCCGAGUUCUCCUGAACAAGAUGUUGAAGAGGAUGUCGAGGAACACACUUUCAAGAAGAAGAGGAAGCGAGAAACCGUGAAGCAAACAAAAUGUCGUGCUAAGAUGGUGGUGAAGCUUAAACAUGACAGAUGGGAGGUUAUCACUUUUAUUGCAGAUCACAACCAUCCACUGAUUGACAAGCCAUCACUUUCAAAAUACCUCCAUUCUCACCAAGGCAUCCCGCCGGAAGAGAAAAAAAUUCUGACUCACCUAAACGACUGCAACUUGAUAGCAGGAAAGAUGAUGAUGAUAAUGUCAUCAUACUACGGCUCGGAGUUGAUUGUUUCGUACACAACUAAAGCCAUCCAUAACCACUAUUCGAAGGUCAAUGCCCCAACUAAGGACAUUGACAUUGAAGAAACACUAAACUACUUUUGCAAGGUGAUGGAAAACGACCCAGGAUUCUUCUUUAAAUGCAAGACAGAUGCGGAAGGCAGGACGGAAAAUUUGUUUUGGGUGGAUGGUGCGGCACGGAAAGCAUACGCGGAGGCUUAUCAUGAUUGCAUAUCAUUUGAUGCAACUUAUCUCACGAACAUGUACAGUAUGUCGUUUACCCCUUCAUUGGCAUCAACAGACAUGGGCAGUCAAUUAUGCUUGGGUGUGGAUUUGUCCGGCAGGAACUAG
rnacentral:rRNA from 1 species